AGCUGUAGCUCAGGGACAAAACAGCUACUCUACAGGCUGAAGAGCCCAACUUCAAUCCCCAACAUUUCCCACGUAGGACUUGGAAGGACUCCUGUUUGAAAUCCUGGAGGAGGGAUAAAACAGGUUUGGAAGACCGGUUGUCAGUUUUCACCCCUGAAGCGUCGCUGUCCAUCAAACUAAAAGGUAAAAGGUUAAAGGUAAAGGACCCCUGGAUGGUUAAGUCCAGUCAACAGCCGUUUACCUUCCCGCUGCAGUGGUACCUAUUUAUCUACUUGCACUGGCAUGCUUUCGAAAUGCUAGGUUGGCAGGAGCUGGGACAGAGCAACAGGAGCUCACCCCAUCAUGGGGAUUUGAACCACCGACCUUCCAAUCGGCAAGCCCAAGAGGCUCAGUGAUUUAGAGUGUACACAUAGUCUCUGCCGUCGCAAGGUUUUAGUGUGGAUGCAAACCUUACAACAUAAUUAUAUAUAUAAUUUUAAAGGUUGCAGACAUUUUUCCCAUAAACCUAUAUGUAAUAUAAAUAGCAGGAUAAUAAACACGUUGUUUAUUUAAAAAAGUUAAGCAUUAUAAACACUGCUUCAAAAUCUUUAAUGAAUGAACAUUCAAUGUAAUAAAUAAUAUUUACAGGCUGGUAUUCAACUAGCGUAGGCUCACUGAGAUAAAUCGACUUCUGAGCAAUACUUUGUAAAACUCAUUUUCAGGGGCUGCCUCAAAACUGCCAAGAUCUGACAACAAUCCAUGCUCUAAAAUCUUGCAGACAAUAUAGGCACAAACACAGAUAUUGUGUAUAUGCAUGUCUGUUGACUGGCAGCACUGAAAAUCAGGUUGGCCAUGCCUAAACCACCUGGGCACUUGCUAUUUUUUGUACUUACGGUUUAAAAAGUCAUUUUUAUUGCCGUCUCUGAAAAACUGACCCAUCAGAUAACAUGGUGCUAGGGGCAAUAUGGACCCAUCUCUUUGGGAGUUCUUUGUGAUUUAUAAGUCCAAAGAAUUUCUUGGUUCGCACAUUCCUACUAAAUAUGAUUUGAUCUGGCAAUGUUUAUGAAUAUAUAUUGUGCAUAAAUAUGAACUUCAUAUUCCACCAUGGAAUGUAUUUUGUGCCAAUCAUUCUUUUCCUACCUCUUUUUCUAAAAUAUUGUAUUUAUAUUCUCCUUGCUUUAAUGGCUGUUUUUCUACUGUCAUUUGGUUUGUUGUUUCAUUUAUUGUAUUUGCAAAAAAUUCAGCCAAGAGAUUUGCUUUGUUCAUCCUGGCCUCAGCAGCCAAGCAGCUCAUCAAUCAUCGUUGCUUGGAGCACGAUACGGAAACCCUGUCCUCUUCUUUGCCUUUGCCUUCUUUGCCAUCUGCUCCACAAAGAUCUGCAGAAAUCUAAAAGAGCAGUCAGCAGCGUACAAUGGAAAUUUUAAGCCAAAUUCCACAGAGACUUAACAGUGCUGUCCUAGGCAUAUCCACUCAGAAAUAAGUCCUAUUGAAUUCAAGAGAGCUCACUCUUGGGAAAGUGUGUUUAGGAUUUGCCAUCUCAACAUCACAUGUUAGCCAAGCCAGUUUUAUUUCUGCAUUUGAGAUGCCCAGUGAUAUAGUCAUCCUGUUUAAUCCUCUCCCUAGAAGGGCUCCCCAGAGUUCCCUGGGAAGAUAGGUUAAUUGUUAAACCACUCUGGGAACUGUAGCGGGAUGAUACCGCUUUAGAUGCCUAGUGCAGAUGGGGCCUGGUUAUUUUGCAGUCAACGCAAGAAGAAACAGCCAUCCACCUCUCAAGGAAACAGCAAGCAAUUUUAGGAAUAUGCAGGAAUGUUUUAUUUAUAUUAAAACAAACAUUUAGGGGAAACUUCUUACACAGCAGUGUUGAAAAACCAAUUAUGAACAAGACAUGUGCAGCGUAGAUUCUUGCUAGCUAAAUGGCCUUUGGUCCUCUUCCAUCUGACAUCUACAAAGCUUGAUAAAAUGGUCACUGAUUGCAUUACCUGGGCAGUCUGGCCAUUCUUUUGUGAUGGUUCAUACUUCAGGUCACCUUAAAAGUAAAGGGAUCCCUGACCAUUAGGUCUAGUCGUGACCGACUCCGGGGUUGCGGCGCUCAUCUCACUUUAUUGGCCGAGGGAGUUGGCUUACAGCUUCUGGGUCAUGUGGCCAGCAUGACUAAGCCGCUUCUGGCGAACCAGAGCAGCCCACAGAAAUGCCAUUUACCUUCCCGCCUCAGCGGUACCUAUUUAUCUACUUGCACUUUGACGUGCUUCUGAACUGCUAGGUCAGCAGGAGCAGGGACCGAGCAAUGGGAGCUCACCCCGUUGCGGGGAUUCGAACCGCCGACCUUCUGAUCGGCAAGUCCUAGGCUCUGUUGUUUAACCCACAGCGCCACCCGUGUCCCUAGGCUCACCUUAUUCAUACACAAAUAUGCUCUUAAGACAAGAUUUGUAAGCGAAAAGACAAUGGGAAGCCUUUCCCCAUUUGCCUCCCUUACUUCAGAGGAAUAUUUGAGCUCAUUGGGAGAGUCAAAAUGGCUUCAGUAUUGCUCUCAUGUACUAUUUCAAACACACGGUUUAUAUAUAUUCAGAUAUGUGUACAUUUAUGAAUAUUUAUUCUAUAUUUGAGUCCUUAAAAUUCUUACAACACAGGGAAGCAGAGCCUUCUCAGUGGCAUCCCCAUGGGGACUCUGCAAAGAAAUCUGUACGGCAUUGUGUCUAUUGAUUUUAAAGAAAACCCUGUAAACUUUUAUUAUGAUUAUGAUAAUCAUUCCAGUCUGUGUUCAGUUAAGGUACUGUGCAGCAAGGACGGUUAGCUGCCACAGGAAUCAGCUUAAUGGAAUGGCUUGUGGCCAAGGCAGCGCUAAGCAACUUGUUCCACAAGCACAAAGAUUUAUGCUUGCACAAUGAAACUUUCCUCCUCCUGCCAUGUGUCCCCUAAAUCUGUUACGAAGGUUGCCCCAAUCCUCGGGAGCAGAUCUGGGGAGGGAGCACGAACUGGGGAAUUCUGUUGCAAAAAUGUAAAUUCUUGCAUGAACCCAGUGAUUCAAAUUAGUGGGAUAUUGCUUCUUGAUGUUUGCAAAGUGCCUUGUGUCCUGAAAGGUGCGUCAGAAAUCUUUUAAAUUGGGGGCAGGUAGCUGGGGAAACUUCUGUCAAUUUUUGUACUCCAAGUCCCAGCAGCCCCAGCCAACAUGUCCAGAGCAGCAGCAGAGCAAGGGGCGGGGCCAGUUGUCCAUGGGGGUGGGGCCAGCUGCCCAUGGGGCAGGACACUCUGCGGGGCCUCUGAGGAGUGUGCUGGUCCCGUGGGGUAACCGUGAGGCGAGGUCCGAGUCCAGUCUUAGGUCGAGGGUGCAGUAGGGAGGCAGUCUGUCAAAGCUGAAGCUGGGUCCAAGGCAGGGAGUUGGGUGAGGUCAGGAGCUCCAGCAGAGAAGCAGGACAGGGUGCAGGCAGGAACAGGCUACCAACAAUGUUGCUCCCACAACCUGGGACUGGUGCUAGCUGGCUUUUAUCUGCCCCAAGGCACAGGGCGGCCUUGGUCCACAGGUGACUCGCCUCUCCUGGUCUGGAGGUGUGCACUCCUCCUGCGGGAACUUACUUCCCUCCGCCUCUCUGCCCUGAGCCUCUGCAGCUCAGGAGAGGCUGGAGGGUUACCGCACCCAGAGGCAACUUCAGCCUCCCCUGACGGGGCUGAGAGUGGAGCACCUGCAGGCAAUGGGUCCUCCAUCCCCUCAGGAGCCAGAGCGGACUCAGCUGAUGCCUGCACCUGAGGAACCAGCACAGGUGAGGACCCUUUGGGCUCAAGCCCCAGCCCUGGCUCAGCUGGUUCUGAAGGCAGGGACUCCUGUGCAGGCUGGGAUCCCUCAGGUUCGGCUUCUGAGUCCGAAUCCCAGGCCAUCACACUGGCGCCCAAGCCACCACAUCAUUCUCAGCAGAGACACGUGGCUCAGGUGUGUGGGCCCCGCGGUGCGCAGGUACGCAGGCCCCGUGAUGAGUGCCACUCGACAUUUUGUCACCCCCCUCAGUGGUGACACCCGGGGCAAACCGCCCCAUCGCACCCCCUUCCUUCGCCCCUGGUCCAGAGGUCAAGGAGACUGAGCUUUGGAGUCCCACAGCACCUGGAAGCCUGAAGUUCCCUUAUCCCUGCUUUAAAGAAAUCAUAAGAGUGUAUUUCCGUUCUUCCCCAGACAGUGGUGAGAAAUGGCAAUUUUGGAAAUGGAGAUUGGCGAGUGAUUUGUCUGGUCUUCAGCUCUCCCUUAAGCGCUCUGCAGCACAGUGCUGCUGACUCAUGGAUUUUUGUAUAAUCUCUGCCUUGCCAAGUGAUGCCUGACGAUUGCCUGGCAGUUGAAAGGAGAACAUCUGGGGAUGUCCAUGUGCGAUGCUCCGCACUGGCGUGCCACAUGGGAUUGAAUGCUGAAAAUAGGUCACUGCGCCAUUGGAGGAGGCAGAAGGAAACAGUGGGUUGAUUUAUUAUACAUGAGCGGGCAUAAACACUGAAGGAAAAUGGGCUCCGUCCUGUUGUAGGCAAUGUGUUUCAGUGGGUUACGGACAAGAUAACAUGUGAUUCAGGACAGGAGAGACUCACCGGUGUCUACAAUGCAAACCAAACAGCAAGCGUGGUGUAGUGGACCAGGGAGACCACGGUUCAAAUCCUGACUCAGCCAUGAGGUUCACUGGGUGACCUUGGCCAUUCACUCAGCUUAAUCUACUUUACAGGGCUCUUGGGGGGAUUAAACGAAGAGGGGGAGAAUCAUGUAAGCCACCUUGAGCUACAAGAAGAGGCUGGGAAUUGAACCUGCGACCUUCUGAUUCCUUAGCCCUAAUCAAAGUGAACUGACUUCAUUUGUACCUCCGACUAAGGGAUCAUCCACACUUUAUCUUUUGCCCUGCAUUUCUAGGCAAAGGUCCACCACUUUAAAACUCAAGCUCAGAGCACUCUUUGUUUUCAAUGCCCCAGUGCUUUCCCUGCAAGAACCCACUCUUUAACCCACUCUUUAAGGUCUUAAAUAGAGAAUAAAUGUUGAUGAUUGCACAAGGUAAACACACAUAUACCACAUGUCUAAAAUAGUACAAGGCAGCAAUCCAAAAGCCAUCUUGGCUCCCCUAAAGACUCAACAUUUCCUCUGCCUCCUUAAUCUCCCUUGUCUGAGAACAGGUAAGCAGUGAGCAAUCAGGGGAAGUUCCUGAAGGCAUUCCUCUCUAUAUCUAUGAAGCUCCUUUGUAUAUUAAUUCUCACUGUUCGCCCAGAUGCUCUGCAUUGAGGGAUGUCUGACAGGUCUUAUCAAAUGCUAAUGUUUUGUGUAAACUGUGUCUGGAACUAUGUAAAACUUGCUAAAUCCUCAGGAAUAUCACACCUUGGCUUACCAGAACCACAGUAACCCCACUUUAGGUGUGAUGCAAUUUCUUCUCUACGCCAAAAUGAAAACCCUUAAAAUAGAUGUUUCUUCUUGGUUCUGGGUCUCUCCUGCCUCCUUGCUAGGAGGGUAGGGAACUCCGUUGCAACAGAAAAAUAAAGAUCCGCCUUGCUUUCACUGCUUCCUGCCUCCAUCCACCCAUCUCUGACUGAUCCUGGACUUAGGGGACUCAGUCCCUUGGGGAGCUGGGCAGCAAAAGCCAACUACAGCGGUACUUCGGGUUACAUUACCUUUGGGUAAUGUAAUUUCGAGUUACGAAUGUGGCAAACCUGGAAGUGUAUACUUCCGGGUUUCGUUGUGCGUGCAUGCGCAGAAGUGCUCUAUCGCGCUGCGUGUGUGCGCAGAAGCGGUGCCUCCGGAUACAGACUUUUCAGGGUAAGUACGGACCCCUGGAAUGAAUUAAGUUCGUAUCCCAAGGGUCCACUGUACCCCUGUUUUUCUAUAUUAACACUGAAUCACAACAAAUGGCAAUCCAGGUUUUCUGUGUACUGGUGAGCUACGGAGCUUCAGUGCAUCAUUUGCACUGAUUGAAUGUUAAAGAAAGGGGUUUAUGGGGAAAGCGCUGGGGCAAAACGAGCAAGCACUUGCAACACAACACUUUAAAGUGUGGACCUGUGCUUAGAAACACAGCACAAGAGAAAGUCUUUCCAAUGAGCCCUGGGUCUUAACACAGAUCCGAACGUAGUUAUCCUUUAGAUUCUGCAUUUCUCUGAAUUUCAUAUUACAGCUCUUGGCUCAAAAAGCAUACCAAAAUGCAUUUUAACAUGUAUUCUGUAAUCAAAUAUGUUUAGACAUGUUUACGUUGAGAUAAAAUGCAUGUUUAUGUUUGUGAAAAGAAGGCAUUUAAGCAGGUAUUUAAAGAUGCAUUUUUGUACAGGGACUGAUGCAAAAACAGAACAGGAUGGAACUACGAAUGAUCCGUACAAUAGCCAUAAGGAGGGAUGCCCACUGCAGCAGCUCCUGCCAAAAUGAAGCAAGCAGCCUCCUCCAAGAAAUGAGUCAUUCUUCUGCAUUUCCGGGUCUGGUGUGAUUGGAUCACUCCAUCAGCUCUGACACAGCAGACUGACUGUGUGCUACAGAUUUUAAAUAAAGCCCCAGUUGGGGUUGUGUGAAUCAGGUCUCAUUAAAAAGCUCUCAAAGCAGUAAA
rnacentral:lncRNA from 1 species